UAAGGAAUAUUGGUCAAUGGACGGAAGUCUGAACCAGCCAUGCCGCGUGCAGGAAGACGGCCCUAUGGGUUGUAAACUGCUUUUGUACGGGAAGAAUGGCCACUACGUGUAGAGGUUUGACGGUACCGUAAGAAUAAGGAUCGGCUAACUCUGUGCCAGCAGCCGCGGUAAUACGGAGGAUCCGAGCGUUAUCCGGAUUUAUUGGGUUGAAAGGGUGCGCAGGCGGGUAUAUAAGUCAGAGGUGAAAAACCACGGCUCAACUGUGGUCCUGCCUUUGAUACUGUAUGUCUAGAGUAUAGUUGGAGUGGGCGGAAUGUAGCAUGUAGCGGUGAAAUGCUUAGAUAUGCUACAGAACACCGAUCGUGAAGACAGCUCACUAAGCUAUAACUGACGCUCAGGCACGAAAGCAUGGGGAGCAAACA
rnacentral:rRNA from 1 species